UACAGAGGCCUCGAGCGUUAGGCGGAAUCACUGGGCUUAAAGCGUGUGUAGGUGGAUGCCUAAGUACCUUGUGAAAUCCCACGGCUUAACCGUGGAACUGCUUGGUAUACUGGGUGUCUUGAGCCACUCAGGGGCUACCGGAACAAAUGGUGGAGCGGUGAAAUGCGUAGAUAUCAUUUGGAACGCCAAUGGUGAAAACAGGUAGCUGGGGGUGUGCUGACACUGACGCUCAGGCACGAAAGCGUGGGGAGCAAACGGG
rnacentral:rRNA from 1 species